rnacentral:snRNA from 1 species
AUUGCUUCUCAAUCUUUUGGCUGAGAUCAAGUGUAAUAUUUGUUCUUAUCAGUUUAGAAUCUGAUACAUCCUCUGUCUGAGGACAAUAUAUUAAAUGGAUUUUUGGAAUUUAGGAGACAGAAUAGGGGCUUGCUCUCUCCACUCCACACAUCGACCUGGUAUUGCAGUACCUCCAGGAAUGGUGCACCAAAA